rnacentral:lncRNA from 1 species
AAAUCAGUUUUUAUACGAACGGAUAAGUAAAUUGAAAUCACAACUUAUGAAAUCACAACCGAAGGUAAUCAAUUCAUAUUACAAAUAUAUAUUCAUGGUUUCGAAUUAACCUCUAGCCAAAAUAAAAUUAAUUACACAUUAUUAAAACAAAAAUAAAAUAGGAGUUUGGAAAGAUUAAACCGAAAGAGGAGAAUGCUUCAGUGCUCUGUCCGUGCCUUUGAACCAUUUUCUGCGAGCUCCCUCUCUCCUGCCUGGCGCUGUGCUUCUGUUUCUGUCAGUCUGCUUCUCACGUCUCACUCUCCCUUUAUUCUCACGCUGCCAGGCUGCCAAAGGCAGCUCUCUAUUUUUUCUGUUUUCUCUUCCGCUCUCAGCUAAAGCUGCGCCAAAGGCAGCUUUCCUCCAAGGCUAAUGCCCUUACUGUCGGUUUUUCCUUCACAGCAGCAAGUGCUGCUUAUUUCUUUUCUUGGUCUCUGCGAGCUGCCCCAAAGGGCAGCCCCUUUCUCCCCGAGGCCCUCUGCUUCUCCCUUUUUCUCCCGCUGCAAUCUCCUUUUUUUGCCUUGGAUUCUUUCCUUUUUUUGUCCAACUCUUUCUUUCCACCGUUUUCUUUCUUUUUUUUUUUCUACAAAACAAAACCAUCAUGAUGAUGUUUCAAACAUCAUCACGACUUAUCAUUAUUAAAUAUAAUUUUUAAUUUAAUUUAAAAGCUGAUCUACACAGACAGUUUUGACGAAUUUAUUACAUAAAAUUUCACUUGUUCUAUUUUUAUUUUCUUUGCAUAACAAAUCCUAUAAACACAAAAAUAACGUAAAUAGCUCAAAAAUAUAAGGAACUAACUAAGAAAAGACGAGUGAAUUCGAAGUAAAAAUAUAUAUAAAUAUGAUCCGAUCAAAUACCCCCACACUUAACUUUUGCUAGUCCUCGAGCAAAACAAAGAAAUUAUGAAAAAGUAAUAACAUGAAAAACAUUAGCUUCCCUCUAUGUGACCCUCAUAGAAUUUCAUUCAAGAAAACAAAUCAUCAAGAACCAUAGCUAGCAUCAAGGAACUAAUCCAAGUUCAUCUUCCUUAUUCAAAUAUUAGCAGUAAUCUUUAAAUCAUCCUUGAAGUGUAGUGUGUGAGAUAGCCAUGCUAAUGCAAUUUCAAGUUUUUAUUUUUAAAAUCAUCAUAUGCAAACUAGUAACCUUCUCACGGGAUAUACACUCAAUCACAUAUGUGUUUAGUUUUAAUGUGUUUCGCUCAAAGAAACAAAUGUAAAAUUUCUACCAUAAGCUUGCAUAAAGAUCACUUCUCCACAGUCAUAAUUGCAAAACUUAAAUCAAGAGGACUUUUAUUGGAUGUAAUGAGGCUUAGGGAUAGGGUUAUUGAAACGAAAGAAUAGGAAAACACAAGUUCCAAGCUACAUUGCAAGCAAUUCUUUUGUCUAGAUUUAUAAGAACUCAAGCUCUCCAACGAUUCUUCAGAAACCUCCAAUCACACCCUUAAACUGAAACUUGAAAAACAAAUUUUUUUUUCUUUUUUUUUCGUAUACAAUCUUUCUUUUUCUUUUUCUUUUCUCUUUUUUUUUUUUUUUUUUUUUUUUUUUUUAUACAAACAUGAAAUACCCCCACACUUAUUUUUUUUGCCAAACACCUUCAAAGUACUUCACAAACGUUUCUCAUAAGAUAAUUUCGCAUUGCUCGCUUGGAAAGGGUAAGGAAAAAUGUUUCAGGUAUAAGGGUAGACAUAUCUGGUGAUAAGAAAUAAAAGGCUCAGCAUACACGGCUCAAAUUGGCAAUCUAAUGAUAUCAUUUUUCUUUGGGAAACAUGGUUAUUUGGGCCAUGGUGGUAAACCUAAUGCCUCUAUCAUUUCCAAGUUCAUGCAAUCAAUGACAAACAUUUCGAAAGAUCGUUACGCAAGUUCUAGAGAUGUAUCUCACAUAAGUUCAUCACACAUGAAAGAAUAGGAGUGUAUGAAAAAUGCACACACUUUCAAUCGGCUCAAAAACUCACAUAGGAUGUAUAUGGUCACUAAAUUCACAUAUGAAGCUUUAAGUCAUACUUUAGUUUCACAUCAACAAGGCUAUGUGCAUUUGGUUUUUCAAAGAUGAUCAAACAUGUACAAAACUAACAAGAGAAUUAGGAAUUUCACCAAACACAUGUUAACUAAGUUCUUGAUGAUCAUGGUUCAAAUUUUUUGAUCCAAUUAUAUCAUUGGGUCGGGAAACUAACAAAAAUCUGAUUCAGAACAAUAAGGGAAACAAGACAAUAUUUUUUUGGAUUUUUAAAUUUUCCGAUUUUUUUUUUUUAUUUUUUUUAUUUUAUUUUAAAAGAAAACAAAACUAAUUAAGAACACAAAAAACAACAACACAGUUUUUUUUUUUUUUUAUAGAGAAAACAAAACUAAAAAAAAAAUAAAAAAUAAAAAGCAACAACACAGAAACAAAUGAAAUUCUAGAGAUUUCUACCCCCACACUUAAACUUGACAUUGUCCCCAAUGUCAGAAAACACUAUAAUGCAAAAAUAAAUAAAAUAAACAAAAUAAUAAAAAAACAAAAUAAAGCAAUUGGACUGAAAACUUCCCUAAUUUGCAGUAAAAUCAAGCGAUGACCCCCAAGCUAAAAUUCUGCAAUCAACUUCAAGGGUGGAAAUAACCAAAAGUUCCUGCAAAGAAAAGAAAUAAUUCAGUUAAGUACGCAAGAAAUUAAUUAAAAAAAAAAUUGCAAACGAAAAAUUGAAAAUUACGAUAAAAGAUAAUGAAUAAAACUAAUAAGUAAUCAUUGGUCGUGCUUGUUGACUUUCCACAGCUUUCCUCUUGAACAGGGUGACACUUAGCUUUUCACUUGCAAGUGAUGAUUUUAUGAUAUUGUACGGCGAAGCUUUGCUCUUUGGUUAUGUUGCAGUUCCUUAUUUGUUCUCCAAGCAGAUGUGGCAGCUUCUCUAGUUCUUCAGUUCGGACUCCUUGUGCUGGGUUGAUUGUACGAGCUGCAUUCUUCUCUGCUUGUUUCUUCUGUACGUUGUCUCCACAUGCUGCUGGUAUCAUUUUCGCUUGCCUUAUCUGUUCUUCAGGUAGAUGUGGCAGCUUCUUUGGAAGUACAUCAGCAGUGGAAGACGAGUACUCGAGAGCAAUUUCUCCAUGUCCUGCAGGUUAGAACAAAGACAAGGAAAAGGACAUGGAGAAUGCAUGAUAUGAGAUACUCUUGCUUUCAACCUUUAUGAUAUGAAAUACUUUUGCUUUGAAUGGGUUGUUCGCAGGAGUAUCCCAAGGAAUGAGGAACACAGAGUGACUCGAGAGGAUUCUUUGGGAAUGCAUUUUCGGAGAUGAAGAGGUGUUGAGAGGGUGUGCUGAGAGAGUGUGCUUUUGCUGUGGAAGGCGAAGGUAGAAACUUAUAGGACUUGUCUUCACAACCGGAACUGUUCUCUCACUUAGUGUCGGCAGCCGGUGGAUGGGUGAAGAAUAUAAAUUACGCGCUUUCUGACAAAGCUGCCCGUAAUUUCCGCAAAGCUGAUUCCUCAUUGAUAUCUGUAAUCGGCGCUUCGAGCUCUGAGCAUCGUCGAUUGUAGAGGUAGCAUGUGACACGUGCGGAUAAAUCUGGAAAAGAAGAUUUUCCCGUGGGUUGAAGCCCAGCUUUUGAGAAAGCUAGCGUGUCUUUGACUGUUGAAUUUCCCUCUUCGAUUUCUGAAUUGGUGCUUCGACAAAUUGCCCGAGAUUUCCGCAAAGCAAUUUGCGUGUGACAAGUGACGACACGUCUGGACAAAUUGAUCUUUUGAAAUCCGGGGUUCGGCUCGUGGUUUCUGAGCAAGCCCAGCCUUUAAGAAAUGAAACGCCUCUUUUGAGAAAAGAAUCCGGCUUUUGAGAAAGGAAACUCCUCUUUUGAGAAAAGAAUCAGACGUUUGAGAACGGAGCCCCGACUCUUCGAUUUGCGAGAGGACGCUUCUCUGAGGAGCGCCUCUUUGAUUUCUUCCUUUUUAUAGAGACGUUAAGCUUGUUCCACAACACACUUGAGUACCCUCCUGUAAACACUCCCUUCUUGCACUUGUUUAAUCUUGAUCAUUCCGACUCUCUUCUUUCUUUACCACCUCUGAAAAAUGUCUGGCCCUUCUGAUCGUCGUUUUGACUUGAACAUUGGUGAAGAGGCAGCUCCGCCUUCACCAGACAACAUAUGGCGGCCAUCCUUCAUAUCCCCUACCGGUCCCCUUACCGUGGGGGAUUCGAUGAUGAAAAAUGACAUGACCGCUGCGGUGGUGGCCCGAAACCUUGUCACUCCCAGAGAUAACAGACUGCUCGCAAGGCGGUCUGAUGAAUUGGCGGUCAAGGAGUCUCUGGCUCUCAGUGUGCAGUGUGCGGGUUCCGUAUCCAACAUGGCCCAACGCCUAUAUGCCCGAACCCGUCACGUUGAAUCCUUGGUGGCUGAAAUACAGAGUCUCAAGCAAGAGAUUAAAGGGCUCAAGCAUGAGAAUAAGGAAUUGCACAAGCUCGCACACAGCUAUGCCACCAGCAUGAAAGAGGAAGAUUGACCAGAUGCAGGACACCGAUGGUCAAAUUUUACUUGAUCAUCGGAGGUUUGUGGGUUUGUUCCAACCGCAUCUGCCUUCGUCUUCUGGAGCGGCACCGCGUAGUGAAGCUCCAACUGAUCAACCUCUGCCGCCUCCUCCUUCUGUGGCCCCGCCGACUGCUGAAGCCCCGCCUACUACUGAAGCACCACCCGACCAAUGAAUACUAUUAGUUUACAUCAUUGUAAAAUAUUUGUACUUUUUUUUUUAUUUAUUUAUUUAUUUUUUUUUUUUUUUUUUUGUAUUUUUUUUUUUUUUUUUUUUUUUUUUUAUCACUAAUUUUAAAUUUUAUCUUUUUUUUUUUUUUUUUUUUUUUAAUUUUUUUUUUUUUUUUUUGUAAAUUAAUGUAAAGAGACUUUGGUUAACCUUCCCCCACACUUAAACUAAGUAAUACAAACUCACAGAAAUCAACCAAAUAACACAACUAACUAAACAAAACAAAAUGAAAGCAGCAAAGAUAAGGGUGUAAAAAUGCAAAUCUGAUUGGGUUAGCGAUUCCAAAGUCUCCCUUCGUUGAAUGCUUGGGUUGCCUCCCAAGAAGCGCUUGAUUUAACGUCUUUAGCCGGACGCAUCUUUCCUUUAAAUUUCCCUCGGCUCCAUUUGAACCUAAAAUCAAAGAAAAAUAAAUCAAAUAUCAAAAGUAAAAUACACAAACACCAAUAUAAACAUAAACAAAAACAAAAAUAAAAGGAUUAGCAAAGUUACUAAUCCCCGGCAACGGCGCCAAAAUUUGAUGUGAAAAAUAAGUUAACACACAAAAUUAAACCCUCUUUUUGACAAUUGUAGUAUAGAUGUAAGUAGGGUAUCGUUCUAGGCCGGGGAUUAGGAGGGAUUGCUAAUCUAUUCUAAAUUAACUUAAAAAUAUUAAACAAGACUCAAGGACACAAAAUUAGGCUAAAAACUCUAAUAACUCGAAACACACUUAAAAUGACUCAAAAUAAUGAAAACAAUUAAAUUAAACACUAGGAACUGAAAUGGACGGAAAUUAAAUUAAAAGACUAACAAUAAAGAAAACUAACUAAAAAAUAUAAUUUAAUAAUGGAUGGGUGUUUGGUUUUGAUGAAAAGUAAAUUAAACUUAAUUAAAUUACAGAAUUGACAAAAACAUGAAAUUAAGGUGAAAUGAUAAAUGACGGACUAGCUAGAGGGUUCUUCCCCACACAUGACACAUAUGCAACUUAAAUUGAUUUUCAGUUGUUCUUUCAAUAAAUUGUGAAUUUCAAUACUCCAGAUUAACCGUGAACAGCACUUUUUUAAUCUUCAAGUUUUCCUUAAGUUAUUGAAUUGGACGGGAAAACGCAUACAACAAUUCAAAACAUUCUUCAAAAGUCCCCUACGUGAAAAGCACAAUAGAGAUACAAAUCAAAGAUCAUUAAACUUUGUGAAAACUAUAAGCAUUGACGAGGCAUUCGUAACUAUGAAAAGCAUGAUACUCUUGCCAAGAAUUUACUUAACGUGAUUGUGACUAGCAACCUUUACUACUUGUGAAAAUAAGUUCAUAACGAUUAGGUGAAAUUCACUUAUAUUCUAGCAUCAAAUUCAUGCAUGUAAAUUAAGCGUGCACUCUCAACCAACAUACACAAAUCAGUUUUUAUACGAACGGAUAAGUAAAUUGAAAUCACAACUUAUGAAAUCACAACCGAAGGUAAUCAAUUCAUAUUACAAAUAUAUUCAUGGUUUCGAAUUAACCUCUAGCCAAAAUAAAAUUAAUUACACAUUAUUAAAACAAAAAUAAAAUAGGAGUUUGGAAAGAUUAAACCGAAAGAGGAGAAUGCUUCAGUGCUCUGUCCGUGCCUUUGAACCAUUUUCUGCGAGCUCCCUCUCUCCUGCCUGGCGCUGUGCUUCUGUUUCUGUCAGUCUGCUUCUCACGUCUCACUCUCCCUUUAUUCUCACGCUGCCAGGCUGCCAAAGGCAGCUCUCUAUUUUUUCUGUUUUCUCUUCCGCUCUCAGCUAAAGCUGCGCCAAAGGCAGCUUUCCUCCAAGGCUAAUGCCCUUACUGUCGGUUUUUCCUUCACAGCAGCAAGUGCUGCUUAUUUCUUUUCUUGGUCUCUGCGAGCUGCCCCAAAGGGCAGCCCCUUUCUCCCCGAGGCCUCUGCUUCUCCCUUUUUCUCCCGCUGCAAUCUCCUUUUUUUGCCUUGGAUUCUUUCCUUUUUUUGUCCAACUCUUUCUUUCCACCGUUUUCUUUCUUUUUUUUUUUCUACAAAACAAAACCAUCAUGAUGAUGUUUCAAACAUCAUCACG